UUGACCUGAACUCAGUCGAGAGCACCCGCUGAACUUAAGCAUAUCAGUAAGCGGAGGAAAAGUAACUAAAUAGGAUUCCGUUAGUAACGGCGAGUGAAA
rnacentral:rRNA from 1 species